rnacentral:lncRNA from 1 species
GUGCAGCGCACGGCGUAGUGGUGUUAACCGCAUUGGAGGCGCUGCCUUGUGUGCAGCCGCCAGCGCCCCCUGCUCUGUCCCCAGACGCCCACCCCCGGCCCGCCCCUGCCCGCCCAUCCUGCUUCCUGUCGGGGGAGUCGCUCGCUGUUCUGGGCACAGCGGUGCAGCGAGGACGUGAGCUGCUGAUUAUGCGAAAUCACGCGGCAGCGGAGCCGUCACCACCGCCCUCGCACCGACGACAGGCCGUGUGAGCCUCACCCAGGUGGUUUCCCGGCUCCUCCGCCUUCCACUUUUCAAGCCCGGGCUGGGAAAAUGCUGUGGGAGGGGCCGCCCCGAAGGCGGGAAGCCUUUACCCUCAGGUUGCUGCGCGUGCGGUUCCCGCUGGGACACUUGAAAGCGGAGGACAAGUCUGAAUGUGUAAUGCGCUCGUGCAGCGCUCGCUCACAGCCCACAAGGAGCCUUCAAAGCCACGGAGACCACGGACGCCUCUUGAUGGACUCAGAUCUGCCCCAAAUGCUGAGCACGGACCACCCCGAGCCUGUGAGCCAGCCUGCAGGUGCGGGGCGUCCAUGCUCACCAGGGUGACGGCAGUGAGCCCAGGGACGCGACGCGGACACCGGCUCCAGCCCGGCGGCCCCUGGGCAGAGGCCUCGGCACACGUUCGGCCCGGAGAGAACAUUGAAUAUCAAAGGAGGGUGAAAUUUCACACGGGAGCCAGAGCCGAGGUCCGGAACUGGCAGCGGGCCCGGGGGAAGGCUGAUCCCGCGGUCACCGGAGCGCUGAGCCUGCUGCAAACUUGGGGCAAUGACGUCAGCCUCACCUGUGCGUCCGAGACGUGGCCGGAGCAGGAGGGGAGGUACCGGACGGGCGAAGCUUUAGAGUCCGUGAGCCUCGCUGCUGAUGUAGGUCCCAGGCUGGCAGGCGGCAGCAAACAGGAGAGCAGCUGGAUUAACUGUGCCCGGAGAGACGACCACUGGCGUCCGAAAACUGCCGGGCGCAGCGUCCAUUCUCUAAGAGCUUUGGAGUACGCGCCUGGCCCUCAGAGUCGCAGAGGAUGACCCUGCAGCCGUCUGACCCCCAGGAGCUGCGAGUGUGCGAGGCCACGUGGCCGCCGGCCUCAGAGAGGGGAAGCUGGUCCCUGCCACUGGACCUGCUGUGACCCAGAGCCCUGAAUGGGGAUGAGGAGGCGGGCAGAGACGAGCCAUGCGAUGAGGACAAGGACAGUCCCGGCUGGCUGUGGACGUCCCCAUGGCCCGAGAUGCCCAGAACUCUCCAGGAGCUGGAAGUCCAGGCAACACAGCUUCCUCCAGACGCCGUGAGCAGGCUCAGCCUGCCAGGACCUGCCUUGGGCUGUGUCCUACGGGGCCGAGGGCGGCCCCGGGUCUGUGGGUGGUCUAUCCUGGCACCCUGGGCCAGGGAAGCACAGGGAAGCACGGUCCGGACGGUGCCUCGCUCCCGGUCCUCCUGGCCUGCUCACCCGCCCACAGGUGCCUCUGGACCCCGUGACCAUGGUGUACACGCAGCUCUUCCGGUUCCCUGCUCCUGGAUCCCCCAGUACCUGGAAGUGGGGCCGUGGGGCUCCGUGUGGAUCCCAUGAGAACUGCCAGAGUAACCAUGCAUUUCACAGCCCCAGUGGCCGGACACAGGGGCUCACUUUCUCCCCACCCAUGUCAUUUUUUUGUUGGACAGUAGCCAUCCUAAUGGGCGUGGCAAGGUGUCCAGUUGUGGUUCUGACCUGCGUUUCCCUCCCGAUGGCUGACGCUGGACACUGUCCACACGUUUCCUGGCCGUUACCCCCUUUCCGUCACACUGGGUCUGUCGCCGCCGUGGCUUAGCGGCGGGAGUUCUGCAUGUAUUCCGGACGUCAAACCCCGGUCAGCUCUGCGGCUCGCCGGUGUCCCCUGCCCGUCCCAUGACUCGCCUCCCUGCAGUGCCGGGCAGGUUGAAUUUUCCAAGACUCCUUCUCAUUCUGUCUCAGGCUGCUCUGUACUCUUGCAUCAAGUGCAGCCCCUGGCCCAGGCUGCUUCAUUUAUUAGAGAGAGCGAGAGCGAGCGAGCG